GUGUCGUUUUUAGUGUAGUUUGUGUAACAAUUUUUGCACCAAUGACGACGACGGCAAGCAAAAGUGUUUGAAGGAAAAAAAAUUACAAUCCAUUGUUCAGAAAAAUUGCUAAUAAAAUUUAUUCAAGAAAAAAAAACCUGCUAAAAGUCCAACGACGACGACGACAGGCCCAAACGCAACGUGAACAUGUAGAAGAACCAAAAAAAAAAUCACAAGAAAGAUAGUUAAAAAGAGAAACGAAAAAACGUGACACAAAGGAAACCUUAAACGAAAAGAAGAACAAAAACGAACAAGAAAUCAACGGCGUGAAACAACGUUCUGAAAAAAAUAUUAAAAUUAAAAAACAGAAAACAAAAGUAAAAAAAA
rnacentral:sRNA from 1 species